rnacentral:rRNA from 1 species
GAUGAACGCUGGCGGCGUGCCUAAUACAUGCAAGUCGAGCGAACGGACGAGAAGCUUGCUUCUCUGAUGUUAGCGGCGGACGGGUGAGUAACACGUGGAUAACCUACCUAUAAGACUGGGAUAACUUCGGGAAACCGGAGCUAAUACCGGAUAAUAUUUUGAACCGCAUGGUUCAAAAGUGAAAGACGGUCUUGCUGUCACUUAUAGAUGGAUCCGCGCUGCAUUAGCUAGUUGGUAAGGUAACGGCUUACCAAGGCAACGAUGCAUAGCCGACCUGAGAGGGUGAUCGGCCACACUGGAACUGAGACACGGCCCAGACUCCUACGGGAGGCAGCAGUAGGGAAUCUUCCGCAAAGGGCGAAAGCCUGACGGAGCAAUGCCGCGUGAGUGAUGAAGGUCUUCGGAUCGUAAAACUCUGUUAUUAGGGAAGAACAUAUGUGUAAGUAACUGUGCACAUCUUGACGGUACCUAAUCAGAAAGCCACGGCUAACUACGUG